UACAGAGGUCCCAAGCGUUGUUCGGAUUUACUGGGCGUAAAGGGUGCGUAGGUGGCGAGGUAAGUUUGAUGUGAAAUCUCCGAGCUCAACUCGGAAAUGGCAUUGAAUACUAUCCCGCUUGAGGGUCGGAGGGGAGACUGGAAUUCUCGGUGUAGCAGUGAAAUGCGUAGAUAUCGAGAGGAACACCGGUGGCGAAGGCGGCGUUCUGGACUGCUACUGACACUGAGGAACGAAAGCCAGGGGAGCAAACGGG
rnacentral:rRNA from 1 species